rnacentral:rRNA from 1 species
GACGAACGCUGGCGGCGUGCUUAACACAUGCAAGUCGAACGGAAAGGCCCUGCUUUUGUGGGGUGCUCGAGUGGCGAACGGGUGAGUAACACGUGAGUAACCUGCCCUUGACUUUGGGAUAACUUCAGGAAACUGGGGCUAAUACCGGAUAGGAGCUCCUGCUGCAUGGUGGGGGUUGGAAAGUUUCGGCGGUUGGGGAUGGACUCGCGGCUUAUCAGCUUGUUGGUGGGGUAGUGGCUUACCAAGGCUUUGACGGGUAGCCGGCCUGAGAGGGUGACCGGCCACAUGGGGACUGAGAUACGGCCCAGACUCCUACGGGAGGCAGCAGUCGGGAGUAUUGCGCAAUGGGCGGAAGCCUGAUGCAGCAACGCCGCGUGCGGGAUGACGGCCUUCGGGUUGUAAACCGCUUUCGCCUGUGACGAAGCGUGAGUGACGGUAAUGGGUAAAGAAGCACCGGCUAACUACGUG